rnacentral:lncRNA from 1 species
GGGAUAGAUAGUUAGAACCAUAGAAGUUUUUAUAAUUAGAAUUAGAUUAGUGGACAAAGUAGAACCUAUUGUGCAGCAUUCUAAAAAGAAUUUAGGGUAGUUAUUCAAAUGAAGCGUACUAUAGAAUCUUCCAAAAAAGGCUUAGGAUGGUUAUCUAUGUGGGGCCUAUCAUAGAACCUUCUAAAAGGAGUUUAAGGUGGUUAUCUAAAUGAGGUCCACUACCUAAGAAUAUUCUAAAAAAUCCAAGGUGGUAGAACAAAGUAUAAAUAAGACUAGCCAUGGCUUUUUGGAGCAUCUGGUCAAGUAUGGCUUCAAAUCUUCUCUCUUAGUAAAGUUUGAUUUUGCAUCUUCUUGUUCGGUUUUGUUUCACUUUAUUUUUAUUUGCUCAAAUUUAUCUUUUAAGUUCCAUUUUGUUUAGUUCUGUUUAGUUUUGUUUUAAUUUAAUUUAUUCUACCUUGUAAUGAGAUUUUAUGUUACAAUAGAUUAUAAGGAUUUUGGACACUUGAGAUAGACUAGUUUUAUUUCAUUGAUAUCAGAGCAUAUAUUAGACUAUUUACUUUUGAUAGUAUGUCAGUAGUCAUCAUCUAGUUCAAGAU